rnacentral:lncRNA from 1 species
AGUCAAAAUGAGCUCGUGUUGCUGUGCAAAGGGUGGGCUCUGUUCUGCUCAGCAACAGUUACCAAAUUCCUGCCACAUGGUCUUUGUCUCCUUCUUCAGUGGUUUGGGGCUUGGUGCUAGGUUUCCUGGGGAAGUUUUGCUGCCAUUUAAAAUCCCUGCUUCAUAUUCACUCUCUGUCAUUUCUCCCCCUUACAGGGCAUUCAAGGAAGAGACACUGCUCUUCUUGUGGCCAAGCUCUGAAUCCUCAAAGUUGUCAUGGCUAAGUCCAUGGUCCCCUGUUAACAGCAGCAAACUCAUUCUCAUCUCAGCAAGUGACCCUGCAACAAGAACUAUAAAGCUGCUUAGGUGGGCUUAACCUGCUCCAGAAAGGGACAGUCACUUCAACCAAGAACAGACUUUGCUCAUUUUCUUCCAGAUGCUGCAUCCUGCUGCACAAGGUAACGUGACAUGAUUUCAUUACGUGGCCUCAUAUACUCAACACAGCUUUAAAUUGUUAGACACAAAAUACACUCAAAUGGAUCUACUUGUUCUUCACAUAACUCCUUUGGGUAAUUGUGAAAGACUGUGUGCUCAGUUUGUAGGAGAGGGCACCAUGACACAGAGGACUUCAAAGAAUGAUUCUAGCAAGUAGAAGGUGCCAAGAUAGGAGGUGGCUUGGCUUACAAAACAGUCAGAGAAAGGAGAUGAGCACUGCAGCAAAACUGGAUUCAGUUGCAGAAACUAACCCCAAAUGACACACUUGACAUUAACUUCGUUGUGAGCUUAACUUGAAGUUUAUGGAGGGAAAUCUUUUAGCCAUACUGUACUGAAGGACAGAAAAAAUUACCUCAGAUGAUACAGAUUAUCUCUACUACUUUCUAAAGAAAAAAACCCAAAUCUAUUUUUCUAAUGUAAUCUGAGGACCACUUAGUUAUACAUAAGAUGUAGUGGUUGAUACUGUCACAACAGACUUCCCUCAUUUUGGUAGAUAUAAUAGGUUGGAUUGCCAUAUUUCCAGUCAAGCCAAACAGCAUCAAACCAUUCCCUGGGAAAAGUUCAAAUGCAAAUGGUCAUACUCUGUCAGCUGUGACUCAUUGCAUCAAGUCCAGUGACUAAGAAGGUCAAAACCAAUUAAUUCAGAGACGAAGGUACCAGAGCUUUCAGUUCUGCUGCCACACUUCAGAACCACGCUCGGAAUAAAACUUGAGAACUCAUUUCACUGCCUUAUCUUCCUGAGCUUUGAGGUCAUCAUUGUUUGUCUGAAUGUGAGCCAAGCACUCUGAGGUGAGCCACAGAGGACAGUAGCUGCCUGACAGCUGCUCACAAGGACUUUUAUUUUGCCUUCCCUCUUCCUUUGACCAGAAUUUCCAUGAUUGGUCAUGGAAGCCUUCCUGCAACACUGCCAAGGCAAGCUGCCCAUAGAUGAAGACCUUAGCUCCAAUUUCCCAGCUGAGAAUUUUCCCACCCGGCAUAUGCAGCAAAGGAAUGGUUACUCAGGCUUUUAGUCACCAGCACCCCACCGAAC